GGGGAGAGGGCCCGAGAACGGUGGCGCUUUGAUCUUGUUCUGGAUUCUCGUUAGCGUCGAGUGAGCUAGGCAGGAGGAGCUAAGGCUCCAGGCUUGCUCCGCUGCGGGGCCGACCCAGACGCCAAGCCUCUCCAGGCCGCGGGCGGGCCCAGUGCCACUUGGUGCUUCUGGGGUCUGUUGGGGACUCCGGCGUGACCUGUCUGCAUCUGUGUGGGAAGCGCGUCCAGGCCCUGUCCCCAAUCACUGAACCCUGCGAGGAGUCGCGCCCUGCAGGCCUUGGCAAUCGGGUUGUCGCAGGCAGACCCCCCCCCCCAAGACCCCCAGCCCUGGUGUUCCCCUUCUUGGUCCUCUGGGAUCUCCUCUUCUGGCAGCUUGGACCUUUUAAUUCUUGGUGUGCGGGUGUGGUUGGGACAGGCCACUAGGCAGACAACUGGGUCUAGAAAGUUGUGAGCUGUCAAGAAAGCUGUGUCAUCGGUAAGCCACAAAGAAACCACCUGAUGUCUUAGAAUGUUCCCGAAACAUAAACUUGAGCUCACAGAUGGUACUCUUUUAUCAUAGUACUCAGAGGGAACUGAGGUGCAAUAAUUACUUUAUUACAAGUUGACCUUUUUUUUUUUUAACUUUUAACAUAGUUUUUAAAGUACAUACUCAGUCCUGAUUCUUCCUCUCUUCUAACCUAAAAUGUAGUUUUCCAGACAUGUGCCAACUCAUUUACCCCAUAUUGCUCUAAAUCAGUUGGUUCCAUAGCCUCCUGUUUUAUUGCUGAAGUCUUGUAUAUCCGCAGUCAACCAUCUGCUUCUAUAGUUUUGUACAUUCUUGAUACAUGGACCAGUUUGUGUGACAACUAUUAAUCUGAAGUGACAACUAUUAAUUUCUUCAGUCACUUGUGUUCAGUAACAGUUACUCAUAAUUGACCCAUGGCUUUUAAGAGUUCUGUAACUUUGUUCAUCUCUGUGGGAAAAAAAAAAAAACUGACAUGUGAAUUUGAGCAUUUUAAAUUUUAAAUGUCUGUUUUGUUAUGCUAACUUUUCAACUUGAUGCUUGCUGUUAAUUAGAAAAGCAUAAAUUACUUAGGCUAUAUUGAAUUAUACUUUAAAUUAAAUUAAUAAAUUAAUCUUGUAAUCCAGUAAGAAUAGUAGUCACAUGAAAAUGGAAAGAACACGACAUUGAACUCAGGUUAGAAAUUGAACUCAGGUCAUCUGAAAGAGCAGCUGCUCUUAACCACUGAGCUAUCUCUCUAGCCGCAGUUUACAACAUUUUAAACUGUGUUCCACACAAAAUUUCAAUAGUUCUGGGGGGAAAGGUAGUUUUAUUGUCUUGUUUUUGUAGUUGAACCACUUAGGUCCAAAGUUGUAAGUAACUUGGGCCAGUCUCACAAAAACUGUUUGCUUGGUUUUUCUAUUCUAGGAUUUUUGGGUUUCUUGUGUGGUAUUUUAUUUGGUUUGGUUUGGUUUGGUUUUUUUUUUUUUGAGACAGGAUUUCAUAUAGCCCAGGCUGACCUUGAAAUCCUGAUUCUCUGCUCCCAAGUGUUGUGAUUACAGACGUGUGCAACACAACAGGUUAACAUUUUUACAUUUUAACAGUCAGUGUUGGGGCUGAGUGUACAGAGUCUGACUAUAACCUUGACUGGCUUUGAACUCACAGAGAUCAGUCUACCUCUUCCUCUACCUCCCAAAUACUGGGAUCAAAGGUGUGUAGGCCCUUACUUUGUAGUGUAAUGCUGGCCCCAAACUCACAGUUAUCUUUCUGCUUCAGACUCCCAACUGCUUGAAUUAUAGGUGGGUGCUACCAUAUCUGAUAUUUUUUUGGGUUUUUUGUUUGUUUUGUUUUUAAGAUUUAUUUGUUUAUGUGUGUGAGUACACUGUAGCUGUACAGAUGAUUGUGAGCCUUCAUAUGGUUGUUGGGAAAUGAAUUUUUUAGGACCUCUACUCUAGUCAGCCCUGCUCAGUCAGUCUCUGCUUGCUCCAGCCCAAAGAUUUAUUUAUUAUUAUACAUAAGUACACUGUAGCUGACUUCAGAUGCACCGGAAGAGGGGGUCAGAUCUCAUUACAGGUGGUUGUGAGCCACCACAUAGUUGCUGGGAUUUGAACUUGGACCUUUGGAAAAGCAAUCAUUGCACUUACCCGAUGAGCCAUCUCGCCAGCCCCGGGUUUGGUGGUUUUUUUUUGUUUGUUUGUUUGUUUUGGUUUGGUUUGGUUUGGUUUUUUUUGGGGGGAGGGGGGGGCGGGUUCGAGACAGGGUUUCUCUGUAUAGCCCUGGCUUUCCUGGAACUCACUCUGUAGACCAGGCUAGCCUCCAACUCAGAAAUCUGCCUGCCUCUGCCUCCGCCUCCCGAGUGCUGGGAUUAAAGGUGUUUAGUCCCAGCGCUAGGAGGCAGAGCUAGUGGAUCUCUGAGUUUGAGGCCAGCCUGAUCUAUAGAGGGAGUUAAAAGACAGCCAGGGCUACACAGAGAAACCUUGUCUCAAGAGAGGAGGAGAGGGGCUGUGUGAUGGUACUCACCAGCAUUUGUCGGGCAGAGGCAGUCAGAGAUCUAUGAGUUCAAGACCAGCCUGGUCUACUAAGUUCGAAGACAGCCAAGGCUGAACAGAGAAACCCUGUCUUAAAGAAGAAGGAAGAGAAAGGAAGAAGACAGUUAUAGGUUAUAUGGUAAAAUAAGUCAAUAAAGAAAUGAGAAUUAGGAUCAUGAUAUCCAUGUUUUUUAACAGAGUAUGCAAUUGAUGGUACCUAAACAUUCCUAAAAAACAAUAAAAGUUCCAAAAAAUUUCCCCUUUAUGGGUAGGUCUAAACCUGGGGUUUUAUUUAUGCCAGGUAGUUGCUCUACCCCACUAGUAAAUGAACUACACCCUAGUCUAAAAUACUAAAUUUGAUUAACAAAUAUCGGAAAGCUGUAGAAGUAAUUGAAGUCUUAUACUUUAUAGAGCUUUAUGCAUAUAUAUGUAUAUGUAUGUAUGUAUGUAUGUAUAUAUAUAUAUAUUCCUCAGUUAACCUUAUUGGGGUGACCUAGUAUUAUGUAUGUUUAGCAUAUCAGCAGCUAUUGAACAUUUGCAGAAAUACUGUUAGGGAUGGACAGUGGAGUCUGUCUGCUAUCCUCUUUCAAAAUGCAGAUAGCUUUUCUAGAGCUUUAGCUAGGUCAUCCUAACACAAAGUAGGAGAGGUAUUACUCUAGAAAUACAGAGACACUGAGCUCAUAGAGCAGCAGCACUCAACAGGUAGCGCCUAACAGGGAGGGAGCGCCAAUCUUUUGACAUCAGACAUGACAUUGCUGUCUACAGAGUUCACACCUUACAACUUUAAAAUCAAACUACACACACCCACCACUCUCACCAAAUCACCCCCCCACACACACACACACCACAGAAUCCUCAAGAUAUUUUAAAUAAGUUCACAGGAUUUCAUAUUGUAUAAUAGUCAUAGCUAUUCACUCAAGGCCACAGAUUAUAUAUGAGAACUUUAAAUUUUCUUUGAUAGGAGAUCCCAUCAAUAAUAUACCAACCCAUCAAUAAUAUACCAACCUUAAAAAAUUCAACUUAACCGCCAGGUGUGGUGGUGCACGCCUUUAAUCCCAGCACUCAGGAGGCAGAGGCAGGCGGAUUUCUGAGUUCGAGGCCAGCCUGGUCUACAAAGUGAGUUCCAGGACAGCCAGGACUACACAGAGAAACCCUGUCUCGAAAAACAAAAACAAAACAAAAAAAAAAUUCAACUUAAAAAAUGAAAAAGGUAUUUGUAAUUAGGAGUGGUUUCAAGGGUAUUCAAACAAGUAUUUCAGGCCCAAAACAUAGGAGAGUAAAGGGCACACACACACACACACACACACACACACACACACAAACACACACACUACAUAUAGGGGUUAGAGAAAUGCCUCAGAAGUUAAGAGCAUUUACUGUACUUGCAAAGGACCUGAAUUCUGCAUGCAUAUGGCAGGCAGCUCACAACCAUCUACUAUUUCCGGUCUAGGGAUCUAAUGCCUCUUGUGAAGACCCCACAGCCUCCUAUGCAUAUGUGAUACACACACACACACACACACAGGCCCACACACACAUAAAAUAUUUUUUAAAGAUAGUUGUUUCAGAGAAAAUGUGUAGGCAAGUCUUUAUUUCAUGAAGUCAUUUUUUUUUCCUUAAAGAUUUAUUUAUAUGAAUACACUGUAGCUGUCUUCAGACAUACCUAAAGAGGGCAUCAGAUCCCAUUGCAGAUGGUUGUGAGCCACCAUGUGGUUGCUGGGAAUUGAACUCAGGACCUCUGGAAGAGUAGUCAAUGUUCUUAACCACUGAGCCAUCUCUCCAGCCCCCAUGGAAUUGUUUCCUUUUAGUUUUUGAGAGGCUAGGUCUUGCUACUGCCCAGACUGCCCUCAAGCUCCUGGGCUCAGCCUCCCUCCCAAGUAUCUUCAGGCAUAGGCUACUGCUUCUGUAUUUUUUAAAUAUAGCUUUUAUGAAUUAAAUAAUCCGUUUAGUAAGUAAAUAAAAAUUAAAUAAUUAUAGCAUUGUAUUAGAAACUAGUGAUACUAGCCAAAUUAACAAGAAUCUCCAGUUGUAUCUGUUUAAAUUUAAAGAUGUAAAGACAGUUGUGCAAUAGUACAAAAAUCUAAGAGGAACCUGAAGCAAAGAUGUCUGUCUAGGGCUGGAGAGAUGGCUCAGAGGUUAAGAAUGCUGAUUGCUCUUUUGGAGGUCCUGAAUUCCCAGCAACCACAUGGUGGCUCUCAACCAUCUGUGAUGGGAUCCAAUGUUCUCUUCUGAUCAUUCUGAAGAUGGUGAUGGUAUACUCACUGCAUAAAAUCAGUAAAUCUUUAAAAUAAAAAAAGAUGUCUGUCAAGUCAGUGGUAUUUGCUGAAAAUUGUUUGUGUCUGAUACUGUUGACUGCUCUCUUUGUUUAACAUAGACCACAAAGUUUAAGGUUUAAGCAAUUGAGAUUUCUUUAGGUGGUUGAUAUUUUGAUUAAAAAUAAAGACACUAAAGUUACUGACAACGGCAAAUGGUAAUUCUAGCGGAACUUAGUAAGUAUUAAGCUUCUCACUGAGACUGGCAUUCAGCUACUGCUGCCAUCUCAAGGCUGAGUGACAAACAAACUGGCAGUGGGAAUGUGACAUUAGGACCUUAACCUGCCUAGCAUAGGUAAGGGAAUGAGAGCGCCAACCUCACAAAAGCCAUAGUCUCUUUCUUAGGAUUAACUCAAGGCUAAGGAUGUUUAUUGCCCUCGUUUGUUAUUCUCCCAAAGGGUUUCUGGCUAAAUGUCACCAUUGUGCAUUCUGUCAGAUAAGCUGUGGUGUGGGUGGCCCUCCUUAGCUUUUCAGUUUUAUUUGUCUCGUGUUCUCCAUUGUUUAUUAUUUUCCUGACCACACAGACCUUUCCCUGCACGUGUAUUCUUUCUUCGUGGUGAGCUUUUCUGUAUUUAGUGUGGCUCAGUUCUCUUUGUUUUCUACCUUAAAUGUCACCUCAGAAACCAAUGUCAUGGUACAUGUCUUUAAUCCCUGCACUUGGGAGAUCAAGACCAGCCUCGUCUACAUAGUAAGUUGGGACAUCCAAUGCUACAGAGAGAGACCCUGUCUCAGAAAAAAAAAGAAAAGAAAAGAAAGAAAAGGAAAAAAAAAGAUCUAUCUCAGAGAAGGCUUCUCUGACCUUAAUAAAGGGAUUUUAUUUAUUUGCAUAUGUGCUCACAUCCUGGAAAUCAAACUCGGGUCUUCUCAUAACUAUCUUCCCAAACCCAAACACACUCAUUCAUAGCAAUUACUUCUUUAAGUAAUUGGCAGUUGUCUGCUUUUUUUGUUUGCUUGUUUUUUGUUUUGUUUUGCACCAUUAGAUUUUAAUCUAUGCUGAGAGCACAUAUUGAUUUAUAUCUACUACAUAAACCCAAUGUCUACAACAAAAAAACUGAAUUAGAAUAAAAUAGUGGAUGAAAGAAUGACAGACUACAUAAGACUCCUCACUCUUGACUUCCUCCUUAAAGUGAUUGUGCAGAGUGCUCUUAAAUAGCUAUUUCUAGGUUGAUAGUUGACUCUUUUUCUUGGGAAUUUAUUAUUUCUUCCUACCCCAUUGUCUCUGCAGACAUUCGUUCAGAAUCGUCUCACUUCCAAAUGGUACCUUUCCCUUGUUCUUUAGUGUAUUUCCAUGUCCCAUUUCCAUGUACAAAUUUCUCCUGGGACCUCAUCUCAUUCAGACAUGCAGUCAAGUAUUGUAGGCAUAUGUGUAUGCUCACUAUGCUAAAUAUUUAAAUAUUCCAAUAAACACAGAAUACAAGCUAUAUGUCUUAUUACUACAGGUUCGCUUGUAGGAAUUUCAGUCUUAAGAUAACAAGGAAAACUGUCUUUGUCCUUAUGGAACAUUUUUUUUUCUAGUUGGGAGAGAAAGACAAUAGACAAUAAAGAUAAUUAAGAUGUAUAGUAUAUUAAAAGUGGGUGACCUGUAAUGGGUUUUGUUGUCCAAGGUUCUUAUAACAAAGUUAACUUAAAAAAAAAAAAAAAAGCAACUUUUUUUUUUAAAGUGUUAAGUGGUGCUGGAGAGAUGGUUUAGUGGUUAAGAGCGCUCGCUUCUCUUAUAAGGGGCCCCAAGUCCUGAUACCAAAUUGGCUCCAUGAUAACCAAUUGCUGUGUAAGAAUAGAUAUUCUAGUGAGACUGGACAAGCUAAGAGAACUUGCUCCUCUUUCAUCAGGACCCAGGUUCAGUUCCCAGCACCACAAGGCAGCUUACAACUGUCCUUAACCCCAGUUUCAGGGGAUCUAAUGGCCUCUUUGGGUACCAGGCACAUAUAUGCGCAGACAAACACACAUAAAAUAAAAAUAAGUAAAUUAAAAAAAAAUAGACUUGGAAGGGAAGACCCAUUUAAGCUACUAUAAAUAUCUGGGUGGCCUCUGCCAGCUUUGUUCAAGGUGGUAGUAGUGGAAGCUAUAAGUAGUUAUUAUUUGUGUUUGUUUUGAUAUAGCCAACUGAAAUAUAAAGUUUUUUGGGUUUGUUUGUGAAUUUGCUAUGCUGGGGCUCAAACCAAGGACUUUGUGAAUUCUAGACAAGCACUGUACCAUGGGACUACAUUCAUGACUUCAGGAGAUCAGUUUUCUGAUUUGAUAGUUAAAGUACUUGCUAAGCUGGAUAUGUAGUAGUGCAUGCCUUUAAUCCCAGCACUUAGGAGGCAUGAUAUCUGAGUUCAAGGCUAGCCUAGCCUACACAGCAAGUUCCAAGACUACAUAGAGACCCUGACUCACUAAUAAGGAAAGGAAGGAAAGAAUGAAGAAAAAAAUAUUUGCUGUUCUUGCAGAGGACCAGUUUUUUUCCCAUCAUCCACAUGACAGCUCACAACUGUCAUAACCCCAUUUCCAGGGGUUCCCAAGCAUUUCCUGGCCUGGGGCACUGCACACAUGUGAUGCUGUUAAAUUACAUGCAAGGCAAAACACUCAUGCACAAAAAAUAUAAAA